AGCGGGGGAAAGGGAGAUGGAGACAGAGGCUAAUGUCUACCUAUGUAAGACCGUAGGCUUGCACAGCAUCUCUUCCUUUAACCACGGACUAAGUGCCAGUGCCUCUCGAAAGAUGAUUGAAUCAGAGUGUUGUAAGUGAUGCCGGCUGUCGGCAGAGCACUCUGCUGCACAUCAUAAAUAAAAUCGUCCUUCUAAGCGGAGGGAUCGACACGGCUUUUAUUUCUCUGAAAGUGACAGACGAGCUGAUUUGGCUUUUAUUCCAUCUGGAGAUGGAGAUGUUUGAUCCUGAGGUUAGGAGUAUGCCUUGGUGACAGCUAAAAGCUAAGCCACCCAUUGAAGAAGUUUGUCAUUUACACCAAAGUGGGAACCCACAGGACAGCAUGCCUCUGUGAGUAGGGUCGGUAUGUCUGUCUGAUAUUAGAAGCACCUGAAUCUGUCCAGUGUCUACGUCCUCAGCUCAGGGAUUCACAUGCAUGGUCUUCAGAGGUGGGAGCUGCCGUUGGCCUGAUUUUGCAGGUUAGGGAAACGGACUCUUAGGCUAAAUUUCUGUCAACAUCAGAGAGGAACAGGGGUUUCAAAAGUCUGUCUUCAUUAGAAUCUGUUCCCCACCCUCUGCCAUGGGAUGGCUCCAUAGAUAAGGCUGCCAAGACUUAUGACCUGAGUUCAGUUUCUGGAACCAUAUGGUAGGAGAGGACCAACUCUCUGCCAAGUCAGAAUUUCACUAUGUAAGCUAGGCUGUCCUUAAUCUACUGCCUCUGCUCCCAAGUGCUGGCACUGAAGGCCUGCACCACC
rnacentral:lncRNA from 1 species